rnacentral:misc_RNA from 1 species
AAAAAAAGUAAAAGUAAACCAGAAACGUGCAGCUAAUGCACAAGUUAAAUAAAACAAGGACUUUGUUAACUCCGUAUACGCAACCAAACAGUGACAUGAAAAAUAGGUGCUGACUGCGGGUAUUAUGAAAAGACACUCUUUGGCCGCUUUACCAUCAAAACAGCAAUCUGAGAGGAAAUCUUGAUUUCAAUCCAUAAUGCCCUCGAUCAACUAUUACUCCAAGGAGCAAUUACCCAACCUCUUCUCUACCUUAGCUUUCGUCUUCUUAGCUUUGGCUUCAGGUUGUGGUUUGAAUGGAAGGAAUUCCUCACCACCCAUGAAAGGUUGCAAAG